GCGGGAGCAGCCCCAGAAAAGGCAAAAAGACAAAAAAUAAUAAUAAUAAUAAUAAGACUUUACUUGUUCUGGAAACCCAGCUGAGGCACCAUGACACAGUGGGCAACAUGAGCAAUGGACAGGUGCUCCCAGUGACCCAUUCAGACCGUGAGUGUUAUGGGAAACCUGAGGAGGGAGAGAUCCCAGGGGUCUGGUGACUGGAGUCUUCCCCUGGCCAAAGGGACCAGAGGUGGUUUCUGAAAGACAAGGCUUCUGACCCUUAGAGGAGGAGGUCUUGCAGCGUUGGCUAAAUGGGCAGCUGGAAGUUAAAGAAGAGGAAAGUAUAUCUGAAACAGCAGACUGCACUAGCUGAUAGGAACUACUCUGUAGAGAAACAAGUCUGGAGCCAAAUAAUGAAGAGCCAUGAAAGCGAAGCCAUGAGGAGUCUGCAAGGGAGCCAAAGAGCGAGGGGCAUAAGGAAAGCAAUGUACUGGAACAGGUCAUCUGAGAACGUCCUGGGGAUGGAUGAGAAGGGAGGGGCUGAGGCAGGAAGAGCAGGAAGGCAGCUGUUGUGCUAGACCAGGUGGGCAUGGGUCACUGCCUAGGAAUGAGGGCAAAGGGACAGAUUCGAGAAACAUUUUAAAUGAAGUCGUCAUAGGCUGCUGCUUCUGACUGAAUACAGGAGAUGAAGAAGAGAAGGGGAGACAAAGAGGAUGCAGAACUGUCCAUCCAGCUUCAUGGCUGGGAGACGCCACGGUCAGAAAUCACAAAGGAGAUUAGGGAGCAUUAUACAUGCCACAUGUAAAGGCUAGAAGAAGCUUCAGUGAUUUUUAGGACUAAGGAGCUAGUGCAAGACUGUAAGUUAAGACUUGAGAGGUCUCUCUCUAAAAGUAUAGUUGAUGCCAUCAGAAUGUGUCACUUGACCUUGGGAGAGGGGAUAGAGCUUUGAGGAAGGGGCUGUCUGUUUAGCCUUGGGCAAGAUGGUACAACUAAAGUCAAAGAUAAAUCCAUUCAAAUCCUGGCUCUGUCAUUUACUAACUGGGUAGCCUUGGGCAAGUUAAUUAACUUCUCAGAGUCCAGGUUCCAUAUCUGUGAAGUGGGGAUAAUAGUAUUUAAGCGGCAGGACAUUUGUUAAGCACUAAAUACGAUGGCCUCUGGAAAGAGCCAAAUUUGGCUCCUAGUCUGUGGCAGAUGUUCAGCAAGGGUAGUUCAUGGAAAGAAGGAGACCCAGGACCCCGGAGCAUCACAGAAGCCCAAGGAGGCAAAGUCCUCCAAGGCUAGAUGAACAGUGUCAAGUACUACAGAAAGUUCAAGAGCAGCUGGAGUGGCAGAAAUUAUAUUACUGAAUCUCUACAGAGUGCAGUUUGGAGGGACACAAAAGGAGCUAAUAAACAAAAUAACAGAAAAAAAAAAGCAAAAGAUGGAAAUCCACACAAAGACACCCCUAUCAGUCAGGAGGUUUGGGCUACAAAAAGGUUAUUCCACUAAAAUGGUUUGGUCGAUAAAGACAUUUAAUGACCGUUAUGAGAAGUCUGGAAGGUGAGAGCACCAGGAUCAUCUCAGUGGUUUGGCAAAGUCCCCAAGAACCCAGGCUUUUUCCAUCUUUUCUCUACAAUGUCCUAAACACACCAGUUUCUCAUUCUCCCAUUGCCUCCUAGAUGCAAGAUGGCUGCUGCAGCUCCAGACAUCACGUUUGCAUAUAUGAACAUCCAUGACAGGAAGGGAAAGGGAGUGUCUACUCCCUUUUCCCAGAGAGAUAAAUCGUCAAAACACUUUCCCAGAAGCCUCCUAGCAAACAUCCCUUUAUAUCUCAUUGGCCAGACUGGGUCACAUGGCCAUUUCUAGCUGCAAGGGAAGCCAGGAAAGUUUCUGGCAUUUUCACACGCUGCAGGAGGAGGGCGUCUGGAAGAAGAGGUUGAAAAUAGCAAGAAACUGGGUAUGCGACCGAUAUGUCUGCCACGCUACUCAUUUACAAAAUCUGGAAAUCAUAAACAGAAGGACGAUGAAGAUGCAAGGAAAGCAGAGAAGGAGUGGGAUCAUAUAGGAGAGAGAAAAGGAUCAGGUUUGAGAGAGGAGGAAGCUUGAAUCCUUCUCUGCCAUGGGCAAGAAGCGUAGAGGUGGACGUGGAAACUAAGUCUGAAGAGGAGAGAGUACCUAACCGCAACCUCAGCAAAGCCAAAUACAGCUGCUUUGGGGGAGACACCAGAAAACCAAAGAGGAAUUCAAUGAGAUACCACCCAUCUAGAAGAUGAGCAGAGAUUACAAAGACACACAACGCAGGUGUUGGGCAGACUGGGGAGCAAUGAGAACAUUUCUAUAGUACGUUAGAAUAAAUAUUCUAUAUUAUUGGAAAAUAAUUUAGCAUGAUCUCAUAUCCUUCCAGCAAUUCCACUCCUGGAUCUGUAUCAUUGCCUAUGUGUGUUCGGCUGUGAACAGGAAUGUUCACAGCAGCACCGUUUGAGGAAGAAAAAAACUGAAAACAACCCAACUAUCUCUAGACCAGAAAAUGAAUAAUUAAAUCAUGAUCUAUUCCUACAAUGGAAUAUGAUAUAGCAGUCGUAGCAUGCAUGACUUUCAGAAAAAUAAUAUGUUGUGAGCCACACAGGAACUCCAACAUAACAUAAUGUUGAAUUGAAAAGGCACAUGGAGGAGUUCCCUUAGCGGCGCAGGGGAAAUGAAUCCAACUAGGAACCAUGAGGUUUCAGGUUCGACCCCUGGCCUCACUCAGUGGGUUAAGGAUCCGGCGUUGCCAUGAGCUGUGGUGUAGGUCGGCAGCUGUAGCUCCGAUUAGACCCCUAGCCUGGGAACCUCCAUAUGCAGCAGGUACGACCCUAAAAGGACAAAAAAAAGACCAAAUAAAUAAAUAAAUAAAAGGCACAUGGAGGAGUUUCCACUGUAGCUCAGUGGUAAUGAACCCAGCUAGUGCUCAUGAGGACACAGGUUCAAUCCCUGGCCUCGCUCAGUGGGUUAAAAGAUCCGGUGCCACUGUGAGCUGUGGUGUAGGCCAUAGGCUACAGCUCUGAUUCAACCCCUAGCCUGGGAACUUCCAUCCGCUGUGGGUGCAGCCCUAAAAAGACAAAAAAGGCACAUGGGGGAGUUCCCGUUGUGGCUCAGCAGGUUACAAACCCAACAAGUAUCCAUGAGGAUUUGGGUUCUAUCCUGGCCUCGUUCAGUGGGUUAAGGAUCUGGCAUUGCUACGAGCUGUGGUGUAGAUCGCAUACAUGGCUCAGAUCCCGUGUUGCUGUGGCUGUGGUGUAGGCCAGCAGCUGCAGCUCCAAUUCGACCCCUAGCCUGGGAAUUUCCAUAUGCCACAGGUAUGGCCCUAAACAAAAGGCAUGUGGCAGAAAAAAAAAAAAAAAAAAAAGGCAUUGGAGUUCCUGUCAUGGCGCAGGGGUUAACGAAUCUAAGAACCAUGAGGUUGCAGGUUCGAUCCCUGGCCUUGCUCAGUGGGUUAAGGAUCCAGCGUUGCUUGGUGAGUAUACUGGCAUUCACUGUGCUCUUAUUACUACAGCUUACACAUAUUCCAGAAAUAUUCUUUAUGUCCCUGCCGAAUGAUUAAUUAAAACAAUUUAAAGAUCAGAAAGAAGAGAGAGUGAGUU
rnacentral:lncRNA from 1 species